GUGGGGAAUCUUCCGCAAUGGACGAAAGUCUGACGGAGCAACGCCGCGUGAGUGAUGAAGGUCUUCGGAUUGUAAAGCUCUGUUAAUCGGGACGAAAGAGCCUAGUGUGAAUAAUGCUAGGAAGUGACGGUACCGGAAUAGAAAGCCACGGCUAACUACGUGCCAGCAGCCGCGGUAAUACGUAGGUGGCAAGCGUUGUCCGGAAUUAUUGGGCGUAAAGCGCGCGCAGGCGGAUCUGCCAGUCUGUCUUAAAAGUUCGGGGCUUAACCCCGUGAUGGGAUGGAAACUACAGAUCUAGAGUAUCGGAGAGGAAAGUGGAAUUCCUAGUGUAGCGGUGAAAUGCGUAGAUAUUAGGAAGAACACCAGUGGCGAAGGCGACUCACUGGCCCAAUACUGACGCUGAGGCGCGAAAGCGUGGGGAGCAAACAGGAUUAGAUACCCGUGUAGUCC
rnacentral:rRNA from 1 species